UACGAAGGGGGCUAGCGUUGUUCGGAUUUACUGGGCGUAAAGCGCACGUAGGCGGAUCGUUAAGUCGGGGGUGAAAUCCUGGAGCUCAACUCCAGAACUGCCUUCGAUACUGGCGAUCUUGAGUCCGGAAGAGGUGAGUGGAACUCCUAGUGUAGAGGUGGAAUUCGUAGAUAUUAGGAAGAACACCAGUGGCGAAGGCGGCUCACUGGCCCGGUACUGACACUGAGGUGCGAAAGCGUGGGGAGCAAACAGG
rnacentral:rRNA from 1 species